rnacentral:lncRNA from 1 species
GCACGGUGGGCUGCAGCGGCUCCAUCCAAGCCUCCUUGGCCCUGGAAGCCGGCGUGUCCAUGUUGCCCACGUUCUGGACUGCCUGGAGGUGACAGCAGGAAGGACCAGGUUCUGCUAGGUUUAACUGACGCUGCUGCACCGGAUACCCCACCCCGGUGCCGGGCACAUAGGUGCAGCCUGAGAGUAAGCAGACCCGGGUUGGAAGGUCCCGCGAUUCACCACCGACAGGAUGGGCGGCCUUGGCAACCCCCGACCCCUCGCAGGCCUGUUCCCUUAUCCAUGAGAUGGAGCUCGGACAAGGUGGCCACAGGAAGGCUUUGCAAACUGUGAAGUGCAGUGCCUACGUGGGCGUGCCAGUGGCCUCGCCGGAGCCGGUAGGGAACACUCUGCAGUCCAGGCCAGGGCCCCGGUAGGACACCCAGCUGUGCAUCCCGCCCGUGGCCGCAAGGCCCGCACCUUGGCCAACAGGAGCAGGGUGCGGCUGGUGCGGGCGUCCGCGUGGCGCUCCCGCAGGUGGAAGAGCUUGGGCGACAUGAUGGCGGGAGAGAAGAAGCGCAGGCACAGGAAGCUGGUGACGGCGAUGAACGGUACAUUCUGGAGGGGUGCGGAAGAGCGCGGGCUGGAGUCCCCCAGACCAGGGCUCCUGGCAGCCCCCUCCCCUUAGGCUCCGUCCCUGACCCUCGCUGGGACACAGCCUCCCUGGUCCUCCCCAGCGCUCCCUGGUUCCCCACCGCUCUUCACCCCUCGCCCCAGCCCAGUCCAACCCGGCCCAGCCUAGCCCAGCGGGUGGAGGGCGCACCUCGUGCUGGGCGCCGGGGAAGCGCUCGCGCACGCGCCGGAAGAGCUGGCGGAAGGUGGCGCGCACCACGGCGGGGCACGCGCGAACCGAGCGGCUGAGCGCGCUCAGCAGGGCCCCCAGGUGGGCGCGCAGCGUCUGCGCGCUCUGCUCCAGCACCUCGGCCUCGGUCUGCGGGCGGUGCAGCCCGGAGCACCUGCGUGGAACGGGGCGGGUUGGCAGAGGAGGUCGCGGUCAGCGCCAGGGCCACGACAGGAACAGUGGCUCUCACAGCAGCCAGGACACGGACACAGGGGACAAUACACGGGUGGGCAGAAGCACAAACACACAUGCUGACAGGGCCUGAUCCCAACCCGCUGCCGCUGCACCCCGCAACCCCCGGAGUUACCCCCGGCCUCACCCUACAUCCUUAACUUCCACUUUGCUGGGGUCCAGCUCCACGUACUUCUUCUCCUCAAACACCUUGUUGAUGAUGGGGCCCAGGACGCCGUGCAGGUACUGCAUCCCGGCCACCUGGGGACCACCGCAGGUCACAUUGAUCCUGUCUCCCCCAGUCCCACUCCAGCUGCCCACCUUCUCCCGGCAGCCGCCCUUGCACCGUUUGCCUGCCGUAUCCGCCCAGGAGGGGGCCAGGUACACAUGCAGGGCAAACUGUUUAUUCAUGAAUGAAUGAAUGAGUGAGUGAAUGAAUGACUAGAAUUCUUAGCCCUUGUAAUCCUAGCACUUUGGGAGGCCAAGGCAGGAGGAUCACUUGAGGCCAGGAGUUUGAGACCAGCCUGGGCAACAUAGUGAGACUGUCUCUAACUUAAAUUUUAAUCACACACACAUUCUCUUUGGGGGGGGGGGGGGUGCGGGGCACGGAGUCUAGCACGGGGCCCAGGCUAGAGUGCAGUGGCGUGAGCUCACUACAACCUCUGGCUCCUGGUUCAAGUGAGUCUCCUGCCUCAGCCUCCCCAGUAGCUGGGAUUACAGGUGCCCACCACCAUGCCAGGCUAAUUUUUGUAUUUUUAGUAGAGAUGGGGUUUCGCCAUGUUGGCCAGGCUGGUCUCGAACUCCUGACCUUAAGUGAUCCGCCCGCCUCAGCCUCCCAAAGUGCUGCAAUUACAGGCAUGAGCCACUAUGCCCAGCCACAUUCUUAACCUUAAAGGGCUCUGAAUAUGGAGAUAGAACACUGGAGUCGAAGUCCCAGCCCCCUCUGUCGCUCUCUCUGAAGCUCAGUGUUGUCGUUUGCAAGAUGAGGACAAUAUAGCAUGCAACCUCACCUUCAGAAAAGACUCCACGGACUUUGAGGCCAGAGAGUUGCUCCGGAACAGGGUGUUGGUCUCACCUACAAACAGAGGUCCCAGUGGGUAGGGGGCUGGCACAAAGCUUUUGGGGGAGGGGGAGGACAGAGGACCUUGGGGCUGGGGGAUCUAAGCUGGCCCCUCAAUAAAGGGCCUCCUCGCCACCUCCCAGCCCACUGUCCCACCUCUGCCCUUGGCUCUGUUC